CCUUCGAUAGCUCAGUUACUAGAGCGGAGGACUGUAGUGGAAAGGCCAGGAAUCCUUAGGUCGCUGGUUCAAAUCCGGCUCGAAGGA
rnacentral:tRNA from 1 species